GUAAACCUGAGAUUGAUGCAGCUGUUGAUGGAAUGGUGGAGAAGGAGGGAGACAUGGUGACUCUGUCCUGCUCUGCUCACGGACAUCCUGCCCCACAGUUCACCUGGACACCCUCAGGAAAGGAGGUGAGUGUGCUUGUGUGUGUGUGCGUGCGAGCGGGUGCGUGUGUGUGCGCAAGUGUGUGUGUGUGCGCGCACGUGUGCAUUGUGUGCUUUGACAAAGCUUUGUGGAGUUAUGUUAUGAGCUCUCAGAACAACUCCUCUAAUUUUUUGUCAUCUCUUAACCCAUCUUUCUCACCACCCCCCACCCCUCUCGCCCCUCCUCUCCCAGUCAGUGUUGGUGAAGGAUAACAAGGUGGUCAGUAUGGUCAUGCUGGAGGCCAGUGCUGCAGUCCUGAAGGACGGGGUCACCUGCGAGGCCAGUAACGACCACGGCGCAGCCUCCCAGGUCUUCAAAGUCACCAUCAAACAAGCCGUCGAUCCCAACGCAGCCAAUGAUGCAGGCAGAGCUGAUAAGCAGCAGGGUGGCUCCAGUGGCGUGGUGAUAGCCGUGGUGGUGUGUGUCCUAAUGCUGCUGCUGCUGGUGGCACUCCUAUACUUCCUCAACAAGAAGGGCAAGCUGCCCUGCAGCAAGAAGGACAAUAAGGAAGUGGCAAGUGGGGAUGUGAAUAAUGACAUUGUGGUGGAGAUGAAGACAGAAAAGGCCAAUGAAGAGGCUGGCCUCCUGAACAAGCCAGGAGCACAGCAGUGAGGAACAGAGGAGAAUAUGACACAAGAAGACAGAAAGAGAGGGAUGAAGGGAUGGAUGAAAAACGACAGCAGGGCUUGUCGGACUGAGGGAGAAAAGACGGUGGAAUGGAAGGGUGUUUUUGUAGGGAUGCGGGGAACCUGUUGGGGGAGGGGGGGGGUAUUUAAACAUGAGACCUAAUACAUCACUGAACAUCAUCAUGACAUUAUCAGAGUGUAAUCCCUUUCCACCAAUCACAACUCUUGGUUGACAACUCUCACAACUCUUGGUGUAGAAUAGAGCUGUACAGUAAACGUGUCCAACAUGACUCUAGCCACAGUAACUCUACCCCAAUCCAAACAGAAAAUGCCAUUGUGUUGCAGGAGUGUAUGUGCGUGUGAGCGUGUGUUUGUGAGUGUGUGCUGUAUUGCUUUGUGUAUCUGAGCUGUGGGUUGUUCUUCGUUCAGUCAGUGUAGAACUGGAUGUGUCUGUUCUGUGUGGAGUCUGCAUCUAGCCCAUUCUGAUGGACAUGGGGAAAACACAAACUGUCAUCCUACUCUAUUCAUCCCUAUGCUGAUUAUUGUGUCACUCUGAAUUCUAUCCCGUAACAUAGAGAUUGACCGUGCCUACUGUUACAUCAAACUUAAUGAUCAUAUUGCAGAUGUGCUUUCUGACAAACCUUUUCAGUCAAACAGGGCAAGCAAGGCCCACUUAUACAAGUCAAAAGUCAUUCCAGCCUAAAUCCACUCCGGCCUUCUGAUAAGAGCCUAUACUGUAUAUAAUUCUAGACUGUUCUAAGGAGGAACUUACCCCUAUCUCCCUGUUUGCUUUGGUCCUGGCCAGAGUCCUCUCUUUACAGGAUGACAUGAAAUAGAAGACUCUAGUCCCUGUGUAUCAAUUCAUUGUUUAGUUUUUCAUUUCAAAUCUAGAAUGUUUAUUCAUUUAUUCAAAUUCCUUUCAGCUGUUACCUUAGCAACAGCCGAGACAAUUUCUAACUUCCUGAUCCCUUCCUGUGUAAAUGUAUUUUUUUCUCAAACCAAAAAGCAACAAAAAUACAAGCUAUUCGGUGUACAAAUUAGUUCCAAAAUGUUGACGAAAUGUUUAUUAUGUAUCAGGUCAUUUGUUUUAUUCUUUUUGUUGCUCUGUCUCUGCAAAUGGAAUACUGUAUAACCUGUCAAUCAAAUGGAGGCUUACUGCAUACGUGAGGUGAAUCUGAAUGAAUCUGUGUGUGUUUACUGUGUCGUUAGAGACCUGACCCUGCUACAGCGCUCGCCGUAUUUCAUAGCCUACUGUCCUUCUCUGAGCAAAGCCAUUUUCAGAAACACAACACUCCCUGUUACGCUCAGCUCACCCAAUUAUCAUCCCCUAGCUCUGGAAAAUUGGAGUAACCUGGCAAAAUGGGGAACGUUUUUGUCCUCCGUUGACAAUCUGAAAUCUCUGCCAGCUGCACUACCAUUUCCUUCAGUACAGAUUGGCUUUGCAGGCCGGAGGGGUUAGCAACACAGUGAGCACAGAUUCACCUGCGAACGUCACAGACACAGGUUAGUCACAGCUUGAUGAGGGAGAGAGGGAGGGGAGCAGGGGAGGCGAGAGGGGGUAGAGUGUGGGGGUGAGGUGGGAGGGGAGAAGGUGUAGAGUGUGGGGUUGAGAUGGGAGGGUGUAGAGUGUGGGGAUGAGGUGGGAGGGUGUAGAGUGUGGGGAUGAGGGGAGAGGGGGUAGAGUGUAGGGGUAAGGUGGGAGGGGAGAGAUUUUUUUUUACCAAAAUAAGUUGAGU
rnacentral:lncRNA from 1 species